rnacentral:rRNA from 1 species
UUUCCCUACGGGGGGCAGCAGUCGGGAAUAUUGCACAAUGGAGGAAACUCUGAUGCAGUGACACCGCGUAUAGGAAGAAGGUUUUCGGAUUGUAAACUAUUUUAGACAGGGAAGAAAAAAGACAGUACCUGUAGAAUAAGCUCCGGCUAACUACGUGCCAGCAGCCGCGGUAAUACGUAGGUGGCAAGCGUUAUCCGGAUUUAUUGGGUGUAAAGGGCGUGUAGGCGGGAACGCAAGUCAGAUGUGAAAACUCAGGGCUCAACCCUGAGCCUGCAUUUGAAACUGUGUUUCUUGAGUGCUGGAGG